CAGUCGCCGCGGUAAUACGUAGGUGGCAAGCGUUGUCUGGAAUUAUUGGGCGUAAAGGGCUCGCAGGCGGCUUCUUAAGUCUGAUGUGAAAGCCCCGGCUCAACCGGGGAGGGUCAUUGGAAACUGGGAAACUUGAGUGCAGAAGAGGAGAGUGGAAUUCCACGUGUAGCGGUGAAAUGCGUAGAGAUGUGGAGGAACACCAGUGGCGAAGGCGACUCUCUGGUCUGUAACUGACGCUGAGGAGCGAAAGCGUGGGGAGCGAAUAGGAUUAGAUACCCGAGUAGUCCCUGUCUCUUAUACA
rnacentral:rRNA from 1 species